rnacentral:snoRNA from 1 species
UUGUGAUGAGUUCUUUAGAUGACGAGUCUGAUUUGGGUUUCCCAAUGGAGACAACCAUCAAUAAUACCAUUCAUGCAUUUCUGAAU